ACUCCUACGGGAGGCAGCAGUGGGGAAUUUUGGACAAUGGGGGCAACCCUGAUCCAGCCAUGCCGCGUGCGGGAAGAAGGCCUUCGGGUUGUAAACCGCUUUUAGCCGGGAAGAAAAGGCGAGGGAUAACACCCUUCGUUCUUGACGGUACCGGCGGAAUAAGCACCGGCUAACUACGUGCCAGCAGCCGCGGUAAUACGUAGGGUGCGAGCGUUAAUCGGAAUUACUGGGCGUAAAGCGUGCGCAGGCGGUUCGUUAAGUCUGAUGUGAAAGCCCCGGGCUCAACCUGGGAAUGGCAUUGGAUACUGGCGGGCUGGAGUGUGGCAGAGGGGGGUGGAAUUCCGCGUGUAGCAGUGAAAUGCGUAGAGAUGCGGAGGAACACCGAUGGCGAAGGCAGCCCCCUGGGCUGACACUGACGCUCAGGCACGAAAGCGUGGGGAGCAAACAGGAUUAGAUACCCUGGUAGUC
rnacentral:rRNA from 1 species